GUCUUUUUAAUAUGAGAUGCAUAUUAAUGUUGUGCAUACUUAGACAAAUGGUGUUGGUUACUAUUAUAUAAAUGACUUUGUAAUCAAAGCCAACAGAUAGCUUCCAGCAUUGUUAUUGUAGUACAUGCUGCCAGUGUUCACUAAUUUGAAGGUAUGAUGGGUUUGAAAAUCCCAAAUCCUCUGGCGGACCUUAGGACAUCUGCUGCUUGUCUGACUAGGAAAAGAGAGAGUGAUGAACGUACACAAUUACAGGAUCAUUAAGGUCCAGAUUGUAAAGCCGCAGACAUAUAAAAAGCUGGACAGAAAGGGAAAAAGGGAAAGGGUAAAUUUAAAAAGAAUGGUUUCUGUCUGUGCAGAAUACAAGAAAUAAAACCAUGGGAGCAAGAGGAAUAAACAGCUAACUGCAGUAAGUUAGUUUUCAUAAGGAUGAAAAAGUGUCUCCAGAGACAACACGUUGCUGAGAAGAAUUAGACGACCAAAGUUUCUUUCAAAACAUAAGAACGAGAAUGAAAACAGAGACUUAGCAGCAUGUUGGAAGGUAAUGAGAAGUUUGUAGAACACUUCAGGAUCUAAAUGAGCUGUCCGGAGACCUCCCUUUCUCCAGCACCAACAGAUCAUCACUGAUUACCUUCACUGCAGAAGAGACUGCAUCUUCGGGGAGACCCCAGAAGUCCAGCACCACAAAAUUCUUUCACAAUACCCAUAGAAGUACUGAGGCCAAGAUGGUGCAGGGUAGAGAUGACAUUUCAGCACAAGAGAUAAGCAAGCAGGAGAAAUCUGAGCCAGCAAUGCAGAAUAUUUCCUUCAAAGCAAUAACUGUUCUAAGUGGAAAUCCCGAUCAGAUUUAAAAUGAACACCAUUGAUCAGAGACAGUGCUGAAACCAUCACAAGCAUGAACAGCCUGGCUUCAGCUUCUGUCCAUUCUUGACACGGAAUCCACAUCCCCUGGAGGCCAGGAUGUUAACUGGAUACAGAAACUGGAAACAGAAUUCCUUUCCC
rnacentral:lncRNA from 1 species